UUGACAGCCCAGGAGACUGAAGGUAUCUAUUUAUCCACAGAAUAGAUUCAGCAUGGGUGGUGGCAUUGCAAGUUUCCCUCCACCCUGUCUUCCAUACUGUUCCAAGCUCCACCCGUAUGUGUCAACACUUUUCAAGAUAUCACCUCUCUGAGGACCAAAUUUAUCCCUGAACAGAGGACCAGUACAAGGCCUAU
ensembl:misc_RNA